CGGACAGCGAGGCCAAGAUUUCAGCUGCGGGACGGUCAGGGGAGACCUCCAGGCGCAGGGAAGGACUGGGCCUUCCAGGAGACCAGUGUGGAGAGCGCCGUGGACACGCCCUUCCCAGCUGGAAUAUUUGUGAGGCUGGAAUUUAAGCUGCAGCAGACAAGCUGCCGGAAGAGGGACUGGAAGAAACCCGAGUGCAAAGUCAGGCCCAAUGGGAGGAAACGGAAAUGCCUGGCCUGCAUCAAACUGGGCUCUGAGGACAAAGUUCUGGGCCGGUUGGUCCACUGCCCCAUAGAGACCCAAGUUCUGCGGGAGGCUGAGGAGCACCAGGAGACCCAGUGCCUCAGGGUGCAGCGGGCUGGUGAGGACCCCCACAGCUUCUACUUCCCUGGACAGUUCGCCUUCUCCAAGGCCCUGCCCCGCAGCUAAGCCAGCACUGAGAUGCGUGGUGCCUCCAGGACCGCUGCGGGUGGUAACCAGUGGAAGACCCCAGCCCCCAGGGAGAGGAACCCGUUCUAUCCCCAGCCAUGAUAAUAAAGCUG
rnacentral:lncRNA from 1 species